rnacentral:rRNA from 1 species
GGGUGAGUAACACGUAGAUAACCUGCCUGUAUGACCGGGAUAACAGUUGGAAACGACUGCUAAUACCGGAUAGGCAGAGAGGAGGCAUCUCUUCUCUGUUAAAGUUGGGACACAACGCAAACAGAUGGAUCUGCGGUGCAUUAGCUAGUUGGUGAGGUAACGGCCCACCAAGGCGAUGAUGCAUAGCCGGCCUGAGAGGGCGAACGGCCACAUUGGGACUGAGACACGGCCCAAACUCCUACGGGAGGCAGCAGUAGGGAAUUUUCGGCAAUGGGGGAAACCCUGACCGAGCAAUGCCGCGUGAGUGAAGACGGCCUUCGGGUUGUAAAGCUCUGUUGUAAGGGAAGAACGGCAUAGAGAGGGAAUGCUCUAUGAGUGACGGUACCUUACCAGAAAGCCACGGCUAACUACGUGCCAGCAGCCGCGGUAAUACGUAGGUGGCAAGCGUUAUCCGGAAUUAUUGGGCGUAAAGGGUGCGUAGGCGGCGAGAUAAGUCUGAGGUAAAAGCCCGUGGCUCAACCACGGUAAGCCUUGGAAACUGUCUGGCUGGAGUGCAGGAGAGGACAACGGAAUUCCAUGUGUAGCGGUAAAAUGCGUAGAUAUAUGGAGGAACACCAGUGGCGAAGGCGGUUGUCUGGCCUGUAACUGACGCUGAAGCACGAAAGCGUGGGGAGCAAAUAGGAUUAGAUACCCUAGUAGUCCACGCCGUAAACGAUGGGAACUAAGUGUUGGGGAAAC